ensembl:lncRNA NDUFA6-DT NDUFA6 divergent transcript
GCUUGGCCUUUGGACUACACCAUCUGUCGCUCGCUCUAACGAGCCGGCGUUGCCGCCAGGGGACGCUCGGGCCGCAGGAGGUCGCUGGGUCGUGAGCUGGCGCCGGGGACGCCGAGCGACUGCGGGGUUUCCCUCAGCGUCCUGCUAUCCGGCUGCCCGCCGCGCUCCUUGGUAGUGUCCGUGGGCGCGCAGGCCUUGAAGAACCUCCUCGUGGCGGGACCCCGAGCGCAGGAGAGGUGUCAAAGAGCUGGCGCGUCUCCAGAGCCCCGGGAGGAAGGCUGUAACGGCAGCCCCAUCGUAGACAGGGACAUUCGCAUCCCGAGCCCUGGAUCUCUGAAAACCAGCCCAGAAUUUGGAAGCUGGAAGGAACUUUAGAUCGUCCAUUCUGAGUGUCUCUCUUCGCUGGCGUUUUCCCACUGAGGUUAUGUAAACAUGAAGAGGAGCCUACAAGUGUCAAGGAAAAAACGACAGCUAACCACAGGGCAGGCCAUGGGCAAGAUAUCUCAGUGUUCUCCGCUCUCAUAGGUCAGGUCACGACCCCCAGGAGACCUGGAGGACUGAAUGCUGCUGCCCCCAAGGAGGAGGCUGCCGUCUUAUCCCAGGAGGGAGAGCAGGUGAAGUCCCCAGGGGAGGAAGCACCUAGCCCCAUUCCUGCUGAGCAGGAGGUGGCAGGUACCCCAGACUGGGAGGUAAGGACAGCCCGGGGCUUCGACUGAACGUCUCCAGCGUGGGUCCAACUGAGCAGCCAUGGAGCACUGCAGAGUGGGAGGCAGCAGGGCAGGGAGGCAGUGCUGGAGGCUGGCUCAACCCCAAGACCAGCAGGCCAAGCUGCCAUCCCAGGGGAGCGAGGACGUCUGUGCAGAGCUGAGAGGCAGCAGCCAUGUGUGAACAGACUGGGCCUCAUCCUGGCCCCACCGACUUUGUGUGGACAGAGCCUGUUUCCCUGUCUGUGCAACACAGAACCUGCCUGAUCUCACUGCUGGAUCCCUCUUCUUCCUGCCAGGAAAAUAAAAAGGUUCAAAAGGAAGUUGCUGCGUAUCCAUCUGAGGCCUCUGAGGACAGCAAAGAGCAAAGGCCCUGGGACCGGGUCUACGUGCCCAUGACAGAGCUCUGGCUGGACUGGUUCUGAGCCUCUAACACCCCCAAGACUCAGAACCGUGAAGAAAAUCUUUCCAAUAAAUCCAAGAGUUGCUGCUGCUAUAGGCCAGGCUGCCACCUUUCGGGGCCUCCGUCUUCAGACAAACCCAGCCUGGCUUCAUCCACACUCCCUGUCCCCACAGCUGCAGGAACAGCACUUCCUGCCACCGAGCCGUGUGACCACAGUGGAUUGUCUCUGGAGGGGCCCAAGGGGGCCCUGGCCACCCUUCUGACUGACUCGGUGCCAGGGGACAGACCAACGUCCCUCUCGUGCUGACAGCCGGGCCGCACCCUGGCAUGAGGGCAUUUACAGAAAUGCUGGCGGAACUGCUGCCAGGGAGGCUGUAGGGUCCUCUGGCAAAAGAGGCCUCAGGUGGCUCCUCA